rnacentral:rRNA from 1 species
AAUUUUGGACAAUGGGGGCAACCCUGAUCCAGCCAUCCCGCGUGUGCGAUGAAGGCCUUCGGGUUGUAAAACUCUGUUGUCAGGGAAGAACAAGUAUCGGAGUAACUGCCGGUACCUUGACGGUACCUGACCAGAAAGCCACGGCUAACUACGUGCCAGCAGCCGCGGUAAUACGUAGGUGGCAAGCGUUGUCCGGAAUUAUUGGGCGUAAAGCGAGCGCAGGCGGUCUUUUAAGUCUGAUGUGAAAGUCCCCGGCUCAACCGGGGAGGGUCAUUGGAAACUGGGAGACUUGAGUGCAGAAGAGAAGAGUGGAAUUCCACGUGUAGCGGUGAAAUGCGUAGAGAUGUGGAGGAACACCAGUGGCGAAGGCGACUCUUUGGUCUGUAACAGACGCUGAGGCGCGAAAGCGUGGGGAGCGAAC